UACGUAGGCAGCAAGCGUUGUUCGGAAUUACUGGGCGUAAAGAGUGUGUAGGCGGUGCUCUAAGUCUGUUGUGAAAUCUCCCGGCUUAACUGGGAGGGUGCGGCGGAAACUGGAGUGCUCGAGUGUGGGAGAGGUAAGCGGAAUUCCUGGUGUAGCGGUGAAAUGCGUAGAUAUCGUAAGGAAGACCAGUGGCGAAGGCGGGUCUCUGGACAGUUCCUGACGCUGAGGCACGAAGGCCAGGGGAGCAAACGGG
rnacentral:rRNA from 1 species